rnacentral:rRNA from 1 species
AGAGUUUGAUCCUGGCUCAGAAUGAACGCUGGCAGCAUGGAUUAGGCAUGCAAGUCGAACGAGAAUCCGGGCUUCGGCCCGGAGGAGAGUGGCGCAAGGGUGAGUAACACGUGAGUAAUCUGCCCCGAAGUCUGGGAUAGCCCAUGGAAACGUGGAUUAAUACCGGAUGUGGCUGUAUGAACUGCGGUUCUAACAGUUAAAGAUUCAUCGCUUCGGGAUGAGCUCGCGGUCCAUCAGCUUGUUGGUGAGGUAACGGCUCACCAAGGCGACGACGGAUAGCUGGUCUGAGAGGAUGACCAGUCACACUGGGACUGAAACACUGCCCAGACUCCUACGGGAGGCUGCAGUCGAGAAUCUUCCGCAAUGGGCGCAAGCCUGACGGAGCGAUGCUGCGUGCCGGACGAAGGCCUUCGGGUCGUAAACGGCUGUCACUCGGGACGAAUUUUGACGGUACCGAGAGAGGAAGCCACGGCUAACUACGUGCCAGCAGCCGCGGUAAUACGUAGGUGGCGAGCGUUAUUCGGAAUUAUUGGGCCUAGAGGGUUCGUAAGGGGUAAUGUAAGUCCGGUGUGAAAUCUCGAGGCUCAACCUCGAAGCUGCAUUGAAACUGCAUUACUUGAGUGUCAGAGAGGAAGCGGAAAUCCUGGUGUAGCGGUGGAAUGCGUANAUAUCAGGAAAGACACCGACGGCGAAGGCAGCUUUCUGGCUGGGCACUGACCCUGAUGAACGAAAGCUAGGGUAGCGAACAGGAUUAGAUACCCUGGUAGUCCUAGCUGUGAACGUUGUGCACUGGAUGUGGGCCGAAUUGGUCCCGUCUGUGUCUGAGCGAAGGCGUUAAGUGCACNGCUGGGGACUACGGCCGCAAGGCUAAAACUCAAAGGAAUUGACGGGGGCCCGCACAAGCGUGGGAGCAUGUGGCUCAAUUCGAGGCAACGCGAAGAACCUUACCUGGGUUUGACAUAUACCUGACCGCCGGUGAGAGCCGGUUUCUCUUUGAGCAGGUAUACAGGUGCUGCAUGGCUGUCGACAGCUCGUGCUGUGAAGUGUUCGGUUAAGUCCGGCAACGAGCGCAACCCACGCUGUUAGUUACCAUCAGGUAAUGCUGGGGACUCUAACAGGACUGCCCGUGCUAAGCGGGAGGAAGGCGUGGACGACGUCAAGUCCGCAUGGCCCUUACGCCCAGGGCUGCACACGUGCUACAAUGGCCGGUACAGAGGGUCGCCACUCUGCGAAGAGGAGCUAAUCCCGAAAACCGGCCCCAGUUCGGAUUGGAGUCUGCAACCCGACUCCAUGAAGUAGGAAUCGCUAGUAAAGGCGUAUCAGCAACGGCGCCUUGAAUCUGUUCCCGGGCCUUGUACACACCGCCCGUCACAUCAUGGAAGCCGGCUGCACCCGAAGUCGCUAUCCGUUUUACGGAGGCGCCGAAGGUGUGGCUGGUAACUGGGAUGAAGUCGUAACAAGG